rnacentral:rRNA from 1 species
UACGUAGGGGGCAAGCGUUAUCCGGAUUUACUGGGUGUAAAGGGCGUGUAGGCGGGGAAGCAAGUCAGAUGUGAAAACCACGGGCUCAACCUGUGGCCUGCAUUUGAAACUGUUUUUCUUGAGUGCUGGAGAGGCAAUCGGAAUUCCGUGUGUAGCGGUGAAAUGCGUGGAUAUUAGGAGGAACACCAGUGGCGAAGGCGGUCUGCUGGACAGCAACUGACGGUGAGGCGCGAAAGCGUGGGGAGCAAACAGG